rnacentral:tRNA from 1 species
GCCCGGGUCGCGCAAUUGGCAGACGCCCCGCCUUAAAAGCGGCACAGGUGCGGGUUCGAAUCCCGCCCCGGGCACC